rnacentral:lncRNA from 1 species
CGGACGACAGGUACUCUUCGGCGAGUUGCACACGUUUUACGUUCUGCUGCUCCUGGACCAGCAUGUCUCCAUACUCCAUCAGCUUCUCGAUGGUCAUCGCUGGCUUCUGGAAAGUUGGGGGCCCAUCUUUGGAGUUCACCAGGUUCCUGCCGAUGUUCUCGAUUCCCACCUUCCCGAUCCACUUCCUCACCUCAUCAUCGUACACGCGGGCCCUCAGGGCGCCGAAGAAAUCUGCACCACCGAUUCCCCCACCCAGUCAGACACAUUCCACUCCCACAUCUCAACAGCCGAGCCAACUCGGUUGCAUGCUCUGCACCACAUCUACCUCUCUGCGCAGCCACCGACUGACCACAAAUCGCAGGGACAGAAACGACGAGGGGAAGUCGCCCACAAUCCAAGUCACAAAUCACUGUCACGACUUGUGCUACGUAACGCACCGAUAGACUGCCCGGGGAACUUGUCCACCAGCUUCACCACGUCGUCGUCGUGCACGUUGUCCAGCCUGAAGAUACCCUUGCACACUCCGAUACGGUCCUCACGGGUGGGCGCCCAGUAGAACUUCUCCAUACGUCCAUCACGGAUCAGGGGAGCGUACAGCGUGGAGAAGUCGUUACCCGUCACAAUGAUUGGCACACG